AUUGAACGCUGGCGGCAUGCUUUACACAUGCAAGUCGAACGGUAACAGGCCGCAAGGUGCUGACGAGUGGCGAACGGGUGCGUAAUGCAUCGGAACGUGCCCAGUCGUGGGGGAUAACUACUCGAAAGAGUAGCUAAUACCGCAUACGAUCUAUGGCUGAAAGCGGGGGACCGUAAGGCCUCGCGCGAUUGGAGCGGCCGAUGUCAGAUUAGGUAGUUGGUGGGGUAAAGGCUCACCAAGCCAACGAUCUGUAGCUGGUCUGAGAGGACGACCAGCCACACUGGGACUGAGACACGGCCCAGACUCCUACGGGAGGCAGCAGUGGGGAAUUUUGGAAAAUGGGCGCAAGCCUGAUCCAGCAAUGCCGCGUGCAGGAAGAAGGCCUUCGGGUUGUAAACUGCUUUUGUACGGAACGAAACGGCUCUGGUUAAUACCCGGGGCUAAUGACGGUACCGUAAGAAUAAGCACCGGCUAACUACGU
rnacentral:rRNA from 1 species